CCUACGGGCGGCAGCAGUGAGGAAUAUUGGUCAAUGGACGAGAGUCUGAACCAGCCAAGUAGCGUGAAGGAUGACUGCCCUAUGGGUUGUAAACUUCUUUUAUAUGGGAAUAAAAUGUUCCACGUGUGGGAUUUUGUAUGUACCAUAUGAAUAAGGAUCGGCUAACUCCGUGCCAGCAGCCGCGGUAAUACGGAGGAUCCGAGCGUUAUCCGGAUUUAUUGGGUUUAAAUGGAGCGUAGGUGGAUUGUUAAGUCAGUUGUGAAAGUUUGCGGCUCAACCGUAAAAUUGCAGUUGAAACUGGCAGUCUUGAGUACAGUAGAGGUGGGCGGAAUUCGUGGUGUAGCGGUGAAAUGCUUAGAUAUCACGAAGAACUCCGAUUGCGAAGGCAGUUCACUGGACUGCAACUGACACUGAGGCUCGAAAGUGUGGGUAUCAAACAGGAUUAGAUACCCCUGUAGUC
rnacentral:rRNA from 1 species